GAUGAAGAACGUAGCGAAAUGCGAUAAGUAAUGUGAAUUGCAGAAUUCCGUGAAUCAUCGAAUCUUUGAACGCACAUUGCGCCCCUUGGUAUUCCGAGGGGCAUGCCUGUUCGAGCGUCAUUAUAACCCCUCAAGCUCAGCUUGGUGUUGGGGCCUGCUGCACUGGCAGCCCUUAAAAUCAGUGGCGGCGCCAUCUGGCUCUAAGCGUAGUAAUUCUUCUCGCUAUGGAGUCCUGGUGGAUGCUUGCCAUCAACCCCCAAUUUUUCUAUGGUUGACCUCGGAUCAGGUAGGGAUACCCGCUGAACUUAAGCAUAUCAAUAAGCGGAGGA
rnacentral:misc_RNA from 1 species